rnacentral:rRNA from 1 species
UGGGGAAUUUUGGACAAUGGGGGAAACCCUGAUCCAGCCAUCCCGCGUGUGCGAUGAAGGCCUUCGGGUUGUAAAGCACUUUUGGCAGGAAAGAAACGUCAUGGGUUAAUACCCCGUGAAACUGACGGUACCUGCAGAAUAAGCACCGGCUAACUACGUGCCAGCAGCCGCGGUAAUACGUAGGGUGCAAGCGUUAAUCGGAAUUACUGGGCGUAAAGCGUGCGCAGGCGGUUCGGAAAGAAAGAUGUGAAAUCCCAGAGCUCAACUUUGGAACUGCAUUUUUAACUACCGGGCUAGAGGGGUGCAGAGGGAGGGGGAAUUCCGCGUGUAGCAGGGAAAUGCGUAGAUAUGCGGAGGAACACCGAUGGCGAAGGCAGCCUCCUGGGAUAACACUGACGCUCAUGCACGAAAGCGUGGGGAGCAAACAGG